rnacentral:rRNA from 1 species
GGGGAGGCGUAGCGAAAGCGAGUCUUAAUAGGGCGCUUUAGUCGCUGGGUAUAGACCCGAAACCGGGCGAUCUAUCCAUGGGCAGGUUGAAGAUGCGGUAACACGCAUUGGAGGACCGAACCGACUACCGUUGAAAAGUUAGCGGAUGACCUGUGGAUCGGAGUGAAAGGCUAAUCAAGCUCGGAGAUAGCUGGUUCUCCUCGAAAGCUAUUUAGG